UCCUGACUGACCGAUAGUGAACCAGUACCGUGAGGGAAAGGCGAAAAGAACCCCGGCGAGGGGAGUGAAAAAGAACCUGAAACCGUGUACGUACAAGCAGUGGGAGCACGCUUAGGCGUGUGACUGCGUACCUUUUGUAUAAUGGGUCAGCGACUUAUAUUCUGUAGCAAGGUUAACCGAAUAGGGGAGCCGAAGGGAAACCGAGUCUUAACUGGGCGUUAAGUUGCAGGGUAUAGACCCGAAACCCGGUGAUCUAGCCAUGGGCAGGUUGAAGGUUGGGUAACACUAACUGGAGGACCGAACCGACUAAUGUUGAAAAAUUAGCGGAUGACUUGUGGCUGGGGGUGAAAGGCCAAUCAAACCGGGAGAUAGCUGGUUCUCCCCGAAAGCUAUUUAGGUAGCGCCUCGUGAAUUCAUCUCCGGGGGUAGAGCACUGUUUCGGCAAGGGGGUCAUCCCGACUUACCAACC
rnacentral:rRNA from 2 species